ensembl:lncRNA
GGUAAGGUAAGGACCCAUGUUGUAGGUGACGUCAGACGCCGGAGAUUUGGCGGAAAAAAACAAAACAAACGAAUGAACAACGAGGAGAGUUUAGACGCUCUCCAAGAAUACAUCGACCGGUGCUUCGAAGAUUUAGUAAUGAAGAAGGCCCAGAGCAUGUCUUCCCCGGCCAAAACUGAGACGCCAUCAUCUAAAAGAUAUCGCCCCGCAGACUCCCCCGGCACAACAUCGCCUGCCGGCAAAGAUAUCGUCGACAUCCUGGAGUCAAUCGAUAAGCGAUUGUCCAGUUUUGAUGCGAGGCUGUCCCUGGUGGAGAUCUUACACCGGGAAUUUCAAUCUCUAAAAGAAUCCCUGGAGUUCAGCCAGAAGCAGGUGGAAACACUUGCUGCAGAAAACGCCACGCUACGGGACUCG